rnacentral:rRNA from 1 species
AUUGAACGCUGGCGGCAUGCCUUACACAUGCAAGUCGAACGGUAACGCGGGGCAACCUGGCGACGAGUGGCGAACGGGUGAGUAAUAUAUCGGAACGUGCCCAGUAGUGGGGGAUAGCCCGGCGAAAGCCGGAUUAAUACCGCAUGAGACCUGAGGGUGAAAGCGGGGGAUCGCAAGGCCUCGCGCUAUUGGAGCGGCCGAUAUCAGAUUAGGUAGUUGGUGGGGUAAAGGCCUACCAAGCCGACGAUCUGUAGCUGGUCUGAGAGGACGACCAGCCACACUGGGACUGAGACACGGCCCAGACUCCUACGGGAGGCAGCAGUGGGGAAUUUUGGACAAUGGGCGCAAGCCUGAUCCAGCCAUGCCGCGUGCGGGAAGAAGGCCUCGG